AUUGAACGCUGGCGGCAUGCUUUACACAUGCAAGUCGAGCGGUAACAGGCCUUCGGGUGCUGACGAGUGGCGAACGGGUGAGUAAUGCAUCGGAACGUACCCAGAGGUGGGGGAUAACGCAGCGAAAGCUAUGCUAAUACCGCAUGUGAUCUGAGGAUGAAAGCGGGGGACCGAGCAGCAAUGUUUGGCCUCGCGCCUUUGGAGCGGCCGAUGUCGGAUUAGCUAGUUGGUGGGGUAAAGGCCUACCAAGGCGACGAUCCGUAGCUGGUCUGAGAGGACGGCCAGCCACACUGGGACUGAGACACGGCCCAGACUCCUACGGGAGGCAGCAGUGGGGAAUUUUGGACAAUGGGCGCAAGCCUGAUCCAGCAAUGCCGCGUGCGGGAAGAAGGCCUUCGGGUUGUAAACCGCUUUUGGCAGGAACGAAACGGUGUCCGCUAAUACCGGGCGCUAAUGACGGUACCUGCAGAAUAAGCACCGGCUAACUACGUG
rnacentral:rRNA from 1 species